rnacentral:rRNA from 1 species
CACAAGCGGUGGAGCAUGUGGUUUAAUUCGAUGAUACGCGAGGAACCUUACCUGGGCUCAAAUGUAUGUUGACGUAUUCUGAAAGGGAUACUUCUUCGGACAAUAUACAAGGUGCUGCAUGGUUGUCGUCAGCUCGUGCCGUGAGGUGUCGGGUUAAGUCCCAUAACGAGCGCAACCCCUAUCAUUAGUUGCCAUCAGGUCAAGCUGGGGACUCUAAUGAAACUGCCUACGCAAGUAGUGAGGAAGGUGGGGACGACGUCAAGUCAUCAUGGCCCUUAUGUCCUGGGCUACACACGUGCUACAAUGGCCGGUACAGAGCGCAGCGAAGCCGCGAGGCAAAGCGAAUCGCAAAAAGCCGGUCUCAGUACGGAUUGGAGUCUGAAACUCGACUCCAUGAAGUUGGAAUCGCUAGUAAUCGCGCAUCAGCAUGGCGCGGUGAAUACGUUCCCGGGCCUU